AGAUUCUAUUCCCCCCUUUGUACUUUAAAAGCCUGUAAUCAGAGGUUCAGGAAGAACACAGAGGACUGAAAAAUACUGUUUAAGAAGAGGAAGCUACCAAUAGAGUUACGAAUCCUUCCUAUCAACUGCCAGGAGGGUCCUAAUCUUAGAAGUGGGGAAUUUCUCCUGCAAGGUGCAGAGCAAUGUCAGCUCCUACUGAAGUCAUUUAAUAUAUGUCUGAAGUUACUGGAAGAUGAAAGUGCACAGCAUCGCACAGAUUCAGGAGCCAGUCCAAACCCAAUUGAAGUCAUCUGGAACCUGAGUGUCAAUGAAAGAUAGCACAUUUUGUAUAAGUAUUGUCAAUUGACCCCAAUAUUUUCUGGAGGUACAACUUCAAAAAAGCACACCCCAAUCCUGCAACCAGAACUCCACAGAUAAAUUGCAGCACUCAAAGUCCCUCUGAAGUCAAUAAGCCCAUACACAGGUACAGUGCUGCAUGCAUUCACUUUUAGGAUCAGGAUCUUAUUUAUUAGCUUUGUCUUAUUACUAUAACAUUGCAGUUUAAUUUCAAAAAAUUAAUCCAAACGAACAUGGAACAUGAGUGGAAGACCAAGAUACAAUUCCCAAGGCCUAUAUAUUAAAUAUAUACAUGUGUUUAAAUAUUGACAGCAUAGCGUACUCUCUAAUGCAAUAUGGCAAAAUAAUUCUUAAUAGAAAAAUGAAAUAAAUAAUUA